UACGGAGGGGACUAGCGUUGUUCGGAAUUACUGGGCGUAAAGCGCACGUAGGCGGAUUUGUAAGUCAGGGGUGAAAUCCCGGGGCUCAACCUCGGAACUGCCUUUGAUACUGCAAAUCUCGAGUCCGGAAGAGGUGAGUGGAACUGCGAGUGUAGAGGUGAAAUUCGUAGAUAUUCGCAAGAACACCAGUGGCGAAGGCGGCUCACUGGCCCGGUACUGACGCUGAGGUGCGAAGGCCAGGGGAGCAAACGGG
rnacentral:rRNA from 1 species